rnacentral:hammerhead_ribozyme from 1 species
AUUCAGCUGACGAGUCCGAGAUUGGACGAAACGCACGUCAUGGAU